rnacentral:misc_RNA from 1 species
UAUCUGCCCGCGUCUCUUGAAGAUAGAUCAUCAACGGAGGAAGGAACGGGACCAUGCGCGCACUCUGCUUGGAUGGACACUCGUGAGUGUCCGCGUGCGUGUCUGUCUUUGUGUGUGCCAGCUCUAAUCAGACCCCUUCACUCUCCGCCUUUAGAGGAGAUCACAGACUCCAUCUGCGGUGCACACAAAAAGGGGCCGGCCAGAAUCACGCUGCAUCAGCACACACGCACCCUCUCACCUUCCCCUAACUCACUGAACUGCACCAUGAACCGACCAAACUCAAACUUCGCAGCAGAAUCACCACCGACGUCGUCUGCAUUGCAGUCUUCUAUCGCUCCUCUCUCUCUCUAGCCGCACCCCACUGGCGAGGUCGGCCACGUAUGAGCGUCCGUCCUACCGCCGCCUAAGCUCAGCUGAUGCGGAGCAUCUCGGCUUUAGCGCACCAAACUGCUGCGAAGACACCGCUCGCGUCGCGAGUUACUGGGGCCGCCAUCUUCUGCCACAGAGGGAGGAGGGAAGGAGGACCCCACGAUGAUGGCGUUGGCUGACAGUCACACCCCCGCCGCCGUGCGAUGGGACGUGCUGCCGCCGGUCUCAUUCUGCGAUGCCCCCGAUGCUGUCGGCGCGCGACUCUUCUCAACUUUGCCGCUGCUGCUUGGGCACCUCGACUACUUUCCCGAGCCGAGACAAGGCCGACGCGUCGGCGGUGCCGGCCGUAGUCUGUCUCAGUGACACACGCGGCAGUGGCGCAUCUUGCUUGGCGCCGUUGCUAUACCGCCACCCUCGCCGCAUCCCGCGCGUGACGGAGAUCCCUGCAAAGAACAUGGCGGAGAAACUAUGCAAGCCCCAUCAAAUGCCUCUGAAGCCACACAGGUGCCGCAACGUUGGACGUCAGUGGACGCGUCACAUCACCAGGCACCGCUCGGCCGAGAGCAGCUCGCUGCAUUUUGCCUUAGGAGCCGAAGCAACACGAGGCUGAAGCUGUGCAUACCGCCGACGCAUCAAGAAGAAAGUACUCACGCCGCCUUUUUGUUGCGGCCCUCGCGUUUCAAGGGGACAAAAAGCACAUUGGCACUCAUCUGCACAUACGCGCGUGCUUAUGUGUGUGUGUGUGGGAAAGGAGGGGGGGGGCUCUGCUUCGAUCUGCUAACAGUAAGCUCUUCGCUUGGUGCGCGGUCGCGCAGGAAAGCGCCGCGCCGAGGCCCACUCUUUGCUCAUUGCUCUCCACCUUGCUUCUUUCUCUUGCUGUUGCUUACAG